rnacentral:rRNA from 1 species
UGGGGAAUAUUGCACAAUGGGCGCAAGCCUGAUGCAGCCAUGCCGCGUGUGUGAAGAAGGCCUUCGGGUUGUAAAGCACUUUCAGCGAGGAGGAAGGGUUCAGUGUUAAUAGCACUGUUCAUUGACGUUACUCGCAGAAGAAGCACCGGCUAACUCCGUGCCAGCAGCCGCGGUAAUACGGAGGGUGCAAGCGUUAAUCGGAAUUACUGGGCGUAAAGCGCACGCAGGCGGUUUGUUAAGUCAGAUGUGAAAUCCCCGCGCUUAACGUGGGAACUGCAUUUGAAACUGGCAAGCUAGAGUCUUGUAGAGGGGGGUAGAAUUCCAGGUGUAGCGGUGAAAUGCGUAGAGAUCUGGAGGAAUACCGGUGGCGAAGGCGGCCCCCUGGACAAAGACUGACGCUCA